AUGUCACUAGCUCAACGGUAGAGCCACGGUCUCCAAAACCGUAGAUGUUGGUUCGAUUCCAGCGUGACAUA
rnacentral:tRNA from 1 species